rnacentral:rRNA from 1 species
CGGCGGACGGGUGAGUAAUGCCUAGGGAAUCUGCCAGGGUAGUGGGGGAUAACGUUCGGAAACGGACGCUAAUACCGCAUACGUCCUACGGGAGAAAGCAGGGGACCUUCGGGCCUUGCGCUAUCAGAUGAGCCUAGGUCGGAUUAGCUAGUUGGUGAGGUAAUGGCUCACCAAGGCGACGAUCCGUAACUGGUCUGAGAGGAUGAUCAGUCACACUGGAACUGAGACACGGUCCAGACUCCUACGGGAGGCAGCAGUGGGGAAUAUUGGACAAUGGGCGAAAGCCUGAACCAGCCAAGUAAGCGUGCAGGAAGACCGGCCCUAGUGGGUUAGUAAACUGUCUUUUAUACAGGGAUAAAGUGACGUACGUGUACGUUUUUGUAGGUACUGUAUGAAUAAGGACCGGCUAAUUCCGUGCCAGCAGCCGC